CAGCCGCCGCGGGAAUACGUAGGGUGCAAGCGUUAAUCGGAAUUACUGGGCGUAAAGCGUGCGCAGGCGGUUAUAUAAGACAGAUGUGAAAUCCCCGGGCUCAACCUAGGAACUGCAUUUGUGACUGUAUAGCUAGAGUACGGCAGAGGGGGAUGGAAUUCCGCGUGUAGCAGUGAAAUGCGUAGAUAUGCGGAGGAACACCGAUGGCGAAGGCAAUCCCCUGGGCCUGUACUGACGCUCAUGCACGAAAGCGUGGGGAGCAAACAGGAUUAGAUACCCCAGUAGUCCCUGUCUCUUAUAC
rnacentral:rRNA from 1 species